GACGAACGCUGGCGGCGUGCUUAACACAUGCAAGUCGAGCGGUAAGGCCCUUUCGGGGGUACACGAGCGGCGAACGGGUGAGUAACACGUGGGUGACCUGCCCUCAGCUCUGGGAUAAGCCUGGGAAACCGGGUCUAAUACUGGAUAUGACUCCAUGACGCAUGUUGUGGGGUGGAAAGCCUUGUGCGGCUGAGGAUGGGCCCGCGGCCUAUCAGCUUGUUGGUGGGGUGAGGCCUACCAAGGCGACGACGGGUAGUCGGCCUGAGAGGGCGACCGGCCACACUGGGACUGAGACACGGCCCAGACUCCUACGGGAGGCAGCAGUGGGGAAUCUUGCGCAAUGGGACGAAAGCCUGACGCAGCGACGCCGCGUGAGGGAUGAC
rnacentral:rRNA from 1 species